rnacentral:tRNA from 1 species
GCCUUUUUAAUAUAUAAAAUAUAGCUGGCCUCCAACCAACCAAACUUGGUAUAACCCAAGAAAAGGCA